UAUAAAAAAAGGCAUAGCCUCUUCUCCUCCUAUCAAGUGUUAAUGGUUCAAUAUUUGACUAUUAACAUUUGGAUAUCAAAACUCUUCGAUAUCGUAUUAUCUCGAUGUUUUAAAUCUUUUUUUUUUAUUAUUCGUUCUAUCAAGAGUCUAUUAUACUAAAUUAAUUGUUGUUAUUAUUAUUAUUUGGAUAUCAAAGAAUAAUUUUGGCACAAAAUGGAUAUGGAGAUUGAUGUGGUAGAUUCUUUCAUAAGGAACAACCAAGAAAGCUUUGGGUACAAUCUGCAAAGCCUUGAAAACAAUAUGAAGGUAUUAAAUGACAUAUCAUUAGAAAUUGAGGUACAAGUCAAAGAAGCAGAAAAAAGGAAAAGAAAAAGAAAAAGAGAAAUUGAAAAUUGGUGUGAAGAAUUUGGGAAUAUCAAAAAUCAAUUUUUAAAUUUGAAGAAGGAUUUAUUAGAAGAAAAAAAAUGUAUUAUUUCAGAAAAUUUAUGUGUGAUUAAUUCAAGAGUUGAAGGAUUUAUUGAGCAAAGUCAACAUGUUCAUCAAGGCCUUUUGGAUGAUCAAGAUUUCCAAAAGGAUUUGCAAAGAAUUUGGGCAUGUUUAUCGAUCGACUGUUAAUUAUUCAAUUUUUAAAUUUUAUUUAAUUCUGAUAAAUCAGAUCGAUGAGUAUUGAUAUUUUAUUAUUGGAUCAAUAUAUAUAUAUAUAUAUGAAUUAACAUUUAA